CCGGCCUAUAUGGAUAUCGAGAUAUUAUUUGGCCAAGAGUGAUAGCACCAGUACAGACUGACCAGUGGACCGAUAUAUGUAAACACACUUGCCCCAACCCUAAUAUUGCAUGAAUGUGCACGAUUAGAGUGUACAUAGUCAAUAAGAUGUGUUAAAGAAGUUUUUCCACCAGAUGCUCAAUGGACAUUGAAUUGUCCUUCCAUCAUUGAGCUCUAUAGGAUGAGCCAGAAGAAUGAAUUAGCUUGUACGUUCCCCUGGUAACAUAAGCCUCAUGUUUAUAGAGCCUGUAGAAGGAAAACGAGUUUUCAGUUUGGCCCAUUGCGGCCACCGUUAACAGUUAUUUGCAUGAACUAGGCACUUCCGGAAAUCGAGCUGUGGAACGCAUAUGCGUUCCACCAGCGGCGCUGUAAAGUAAUUAACCACACUGAGCCGAACUCAGCAGCGCGGAUGGCCCUGACUGCUAACUUAUUAGUUCAUUUAUCCACACUGCAAUAAGCAUGUAGGGGGUGAAAUUAUAUAGGUAAGAAAAUCGAGGAGGGGGACGCAUUUGAGGCCGUCCCUGCACUUCCGGGGUAAGGGGUAUAAAAGUCCUGUCAUUUUGCCAGUUACAGUUGUGGCUGUAGAAGGUGUCAGCAUCUCCUGUAGAGUGGGUGAGUACUGCUAUUACAUUAGCAUGAGUAGUUGGUAGAUCUAUAUCAUUUUGACUAUUGGAGGAUGAACUAUGUGAACUGUCCUUACAGUGAUCUCCUAUGUUGUCAGAGUUGCUCGGAGGUUGUGUGGCUAAGUAAGCACACCAAAACCUGUUAGUACUAAGUCUGACCCAUCCAUGCAGCACGUUCAUUGUCUGAACAUGAGACAUUGAUUCCCUGAGUAAGUGGAUGUUGUCCUGUUACCACAGCCAUUAUACGUUUAAGAGAAAUGCCCUAGUUCACAUUGGUGUUUAUUUUUCUGGACGUGGGACUGGUGAGCACGCUUGGCCAAUAUAGACAUAGGUGUGAUAUUACAUUCGAAUCACGAUGGGUGUCUGUGAGACCCUUGUAACCAAAUACUGUUGGAGUGUGGCAGUCUAUAUAUAUAUGUUUUGUGUUUGUUCCUUUAAGAGAAUUACUCUAUCUAUUGUCUUUUGUAGUAAUCAAUGUAUGAUGCUUUCAAAAACUGUAUAAAAAUCGAAGCUUGUCUUGAGAAAGAUCCGCGAAUUAGGAUCGAAACGUCGACUAAUUGAGCCGAAUAUACACUGCAAUAAAGCUGUUAUGAACAAACCAGAA